GAGUCCCACUUACAGGGGCGCUGCCAUUUUCGCCAGUCACAUGAUUUAUGUGCUCGGAUGUGACGUAUAGGGUGCAGCACCAAAGGCUCGAUUAUAUGGGACACCAUUUAUGCCCGGCACGAAUUUCUCGAAUUUCUCCUCAUCUGAUGAAGAAAUAGCAGUAUCGGUUGAUCAGGAAGACGGGGGAAUACGUUCAUACAGAUUUGAACCUGUGGCUGUAAAUAAUGUUGAAUAUUCGGAUGGUUUUUCGGGCGGAAUGACGCCAGAGUCUGACCACUCGGAGGCCAACGCGCGGGACGUAAGUGCGUAAACAAAGGUCCCCGGAGCUGCGGGCCAGCAGCCGCGGAUGGUUCUUCGGACAGGAAUGACAUGGAGUGUAAACAUGUUGACACCUAGCCAGCUGUCGAAAGGAAUCAUAACAAGGAGAAACUUGCUCUGGUUGAUGGAGUUGACUCCUACGAGUUACCCAAACAGGAAUGGACAACAGAUGUGACAUACUAUCCUGCUGUAACUUACCCUGACAUUGUGAACUAUUUUAUCUUCACUCCAAGUGUUUAUACCAUGGAUGACCUGAAGGCUUACAAGAGCAUGGAUGCAUACAAUCAGUUCGCCUAGAAAUUGAUACCAAUUAGUAAGAGGAAAGAUUCUCCAUUCCCAAGCAUUGCGAAAAAAGCCCCUUUGGCCUUGGAUUAUUGCUGAACAAAGUGGGGAAAUUGUUGCUGCACAUUGCUACUGCAAGGCUGGCCUGGGAGAAGCUUGUUCACGUGUUGCAGCACUGCUGUUUUGGGUUGAAGCCAACAUCAGGAUACGGGACUCAAAGACUGUCAUGCAAGAGAAAGCAAAAAAUUCCCUACCUAUACCGACCCUAGUUUUCUGAGUCUGUGUUACCGGAAACAUAACAUUAUUUUUGUUUGGCCUUAUCACAAUGUUUUGACCACAUAAAUGUGGUGUACCCAAUGUUAUGCAAGUGCCAAAAGAAACAAACCAAUUGUUAUUAAUUGUAACCAAUUAAUGCCAGACAUACAUAAUGUUAAAAAAUUAACAAAAUCGAUCCGAUCAAAAGAUGAAGCAAUGACUAUAUUUAAAUGACAUGUUCAUUUACUCCAUACACCUGUGGACGUAAUUGCUCAAAACAUUUAUUUACAAUAAAUAAUGCAUCUCUGUUCCUCUAUUUAUGCGAUCUAUCUUAUCUAUUUAUCCCAAGCUGUCUUUCCUAGAGUAAAAGAAAAAAAAGA